CCUGACUCGGCGCGCGUGCGCAGUGCCACCCGGCCCAGGCUGCUCUUGAAAUGUAAGCGUGUUGAACCCGGGGAGGGAAGCUGGGCGGCCGUCCUGCAGGAGGCGGUGUGGCGAGGACGCUUUGGCCCAGCGGGGAAGGAGGCGUACUGGCACGUGGUGGCACGGCCGUUCAAACCCCGGACGCACCUGGGAGGCUGAACCGGGGCUACCGGAGGGGACCCCAAGCUGGGGGCCGCAGCCGGCGCUCGGUGCGCGGCAAGUUAGCAUCUGUAGGGUGGCCGGGGCGCUUCCAGCCCUGCACUUCCGCGUGCGCUUCUAAAGCCCGGGCUGCCGAACCUUCCAGCAUUUGGAUCCUUCGAAAGACCUCCAGUCGGCUCUUUAACAACAGACACCCCCAAAAAAGACACUUCUCCGAGCUGUCUCGCGUUUCACUGACUCGAAAUGUGUUUCUGCAGGUCAGUCGAGCAGUAGUUUACGCGUAAUUUGACUCAGCAAUUUCACCAUCCGGACGUUAUCCUACCGGGCAUCCAUCAGUACCAGGAGGUGCGUUCAAGGAGAUUCUUGACUAUAUAUUGUUUAUUAUAAUACAGUGAGAAUUGACAAAAUAAACAAUGGAUAUUUCGUAAGUGCUCCACAAGAGUUUAAGAAAUAACUCCGUGUUCUCACUGAUAAGCACUAAGGAACCAGCAAUGUUAAACACACAGGGUUGUUCAUCUCUUCAAUGAGAGUGAUGUAUAACCUAUUUCCACCUAGAAGGCUGGGAAUGGACGAAGUUAACAGCCUGGUCACCUUUAUCAUUAGUGUGUUUUUCUCAAUCUAUAGAAACAAGUUUUGUUGUUUUUGUUUUUUCAAGACAGGGUUUGUCUGUGUAACAGCCCUGGUUGUCCUGGAACUCGGGCCGUAGACCAGGCUGCCUCCCAAGUGCUGGGAUUAAGGACCUUCACCGCUACAGAAACUAUCUUUAUGGAAGAUGUCACAUGUACUUUACAAAGAGUUUCAGUGUAGUUGUGUCUUAAACUUUGUUGUGCACGCAUUUUUGAGUUAAUUGUGCACCUAGGAUUGACUUAAUUAUUACCAGGAAAGUUUUCACCAAACUGUGCUGUGCUUAAACGUGCCUAAAAUAAACUCCUUGGUGUCAGACUCUCAAA